UUGAUCCUGGCUCAGAAUCAACGCUGGCGGCGUGCCUAACACAUGCAAGUCGAACGCGAAAGUGGAGCAAUCCAUGAGUAGAGUGGCGAACGGGUGAGUUACACGUGGGUGACCUACCUUCGAAUGGGGGAUAACGUCCCGAAAGGGACUCUAAUACCGCAUAACAUCCUGUCCUUGAACGGAUGGAGAUCAAAGCCGGUGAUCGCAAGACCUGGCGUUUGAAGAGGGGCCCGCGUCCGAUUAGCUAGUUGGUGAGGUAAUGGCUCACCAAGGCGACGAUCGGUAACCGGCCUGAGAGGUCGGACGGUCACACUGGGACUGAGACACGGCCCAGACUCCUACGGGAGGCUGCAGUGGGGAAUUGUUCACAAUGGGCGCAAGCCUGAUGACGCAACGCCGUGUGGAGGAUGAAGGUCUUCGGGUUGUAAACUCCUGUUGCUCGGGACGAAUAGCUUUGACCUAACACGUCAAAGUCUGACGGUACCGAGUGAGGAAGCCCUGGCUAACUCUGUGCCAGCAGCCGCGGUAAUAAGGU
rnacentral:rRNA from 1 species